AAACCAAAAAUCAACUCGCUGAUGGGACGUUCCAUUAUAAGGGGAGUGGCCAGCUCCAAGGCAAGUCUGCAAACCGUCAAGUUUUACAUUUCUACAAUAAUGAUAACGUUAAAUAUAAGCAUUAUUUUAUCAAUAACAGUAUACAAUAUCAAUGUAUAACUGUACUUCGCUAUUUUAAACACUCGUCAAAGGGAAAAAGAGUUCCACUGGGGUGAACAGAGGGUGGGCAUUUCCCAACUCCCUUCCGGAACCGAAUUUUAACCCUGGGAUUCAGGUCGGACCUCCUUUAUCAGCACACCGUGGCAUCCAUCACUGCUGAGGAAUAGAGAUACAGAGCUGUGAAACCCUGUCUGCAGAUGAAGAGCAAUGGUUCCCAGUCCUGUUCCUGGGGUCUCAAAGGGAUGCCUUGCAACUGGAGAUUUCUUAAACGAUUGCCUACAGUUACUGUGUAGGGCACUGCACAGUUGGGUGACCAGGGCCAUCUGGGACUGUCUCGUGGGGGAUUUCAGGCAUCUGUGAAGGCUACCUGUGUCCUGCAUAACUUCAUGAUGAUGAACAGGAGGGGACCUGCAGCGCUCCGCCGUGUGCCAGAGGAGAGGUCUGCUGCUCUGCAGGAUGUUGCCAGGAUGGGGGCCAACAACGCACACAGGAGGCAAUCUGUGUGCAGGAGACCUUCACCUCCUACUUCUUAGCAAAGGAUGCUGUUCCCUGGCAACAUAGACUACACUAUGCACAACCAAAGGCUCUUUUAAGAGCCAUCCACAUUGCAAUAAGAGUAUUCUUCAAUUUACUUAGCUAUGUCAACUGCAGUUAUUCAUUUCAGUUUCUGUUCCUGUGAUUUCUACUUCGCCGGUGAGGGUGCUGUUUAGGUAGGUGUGGUGUCUGUACAAAAACAAAACAGGCUCUUUUAAGAGUCACCCAUAUUGAAAACAUUUAGAACAAUUAGACACCCUAUAAGCCACACCUACACACUUAUCUAUCAAUCUGAUGUAUGUGUUGUGUAGUAAGCAGGCUCCGGUGUAUAACUGUGGCUCCUUCCACCUUCAAAGAAUAGACAAGAGGACAAACCAUGGAGAAUAGUAACACACUUCAUUAUUUAUAUAACUAAAUUGUUUGUACUCAAGUGUCUGCAUAAAGUACUCUGCAGCCACUUAGUGAGGCCACACACACACAGAUUCCUGUUGAACACCGUCUCUUUAACGGACUUAUUUUCUCAAUAACAGUCUCCUUCACUCCAUCCCUCUCUCCCCUUCUCCCGUAAUCAUGUAGGUCAGUGGUUGCCAAACUUUUUAUGGUCCCAUACCCCUUCAAACAUUCAACCUAGCUGCGUACCCCCUCUAGCACCAGGGUCAGCGCAUUCUCAAAUGUUUUUUGCCAUCAUUGUAAGCCUGCCACUCACAC